AACGCACAUUGCGCCCCUCGGUAUUCCGUGGGGCAUGCCUGUUCGAGCGUCAUUUACACCCUCAAGCUCUGCUUGGUGUUGGGCGUCUGUCCCGCCUCCGUGCGCGGACUCGCCUCAAAGUCAUUGGCAGCGGUCUCGUCGGCUUCUCGCGCAGCACAUUUGCGCUUCUUGGAGCCCCGGCGGAUCAGCGUCCAGCAAGCAAUUUCAUGACUUGACCUCGGAUCAGGUAGGGAUACCCGCUGAACUUAA
rnacentral:misc_RNA from 2 species